rnacentral:rRNA from 1 species
AACGCGAAGAACCUACCCUUGACAUGGAUGGAAUCCCGAAGAGAUUUGGGAGUGCUCGAAAGAGAACCAUCACACAGGUGCUGCAUGGCUGUCGUCAGCUCGUGUCGUGAGAUGUUGGGUUAAGUCCCGCAACGAGCGCAACCCUUGUCAUUAGUUGCUACGAAAGGGCACUCUAAUGAGACUGCCGGUGACAAACCGGAGGAAGGUGGGGAUGACGUCAAGUCCUCAUGGCCCUUAUGGGUAGGGCUUCACACGUCAUACAAUGGUACAUACAGAGGGCCGCCAACCCGCGAGGGGGAGCUAAUCCCAGAAAGUGUAUCGUAGUCCGGAUUGGAGUCUACAACUCGACUCCAUGAAGUUGGAAUCGCUAGUAAUCGCGGAUCAGCAUGUCGCGGUGAAUACGUUCCCGGGUCUUGUACACACGC